CGGAAAUAGACAUAAAAUAACACCUUGAAACUGAUGGGAAAACAGGGCAGGGGAAGAAGAUGGAAGGCUGUUAAUUAAGAAAUCAUGAAGAUCAGAAGUCAGUGGAAAACAUCUUUAAAGUUGCUUAAAUAAAAGAGCAAUCAACACAGAAUUCUAUAUCCACAAAUACAUUCUCCAGGAAUGAAGUCAAAAGCAAGGUAUUCUCAGAUGAAGAAAAAUUAAGAGAAGUGUUGUCAACAGACCUACUCUACAGUAAACGCUAACGAAGGGCUCUUGUGGUGCACCUUGAAAUCCCUUGCACAGCCUUCCUGUGAUGGGCGAAGUGGCCCAGAAUCACUGAGGAAAUGCUCUCUGAGA